rnacentral:rRNA from 1 species
GCGAAGAACCUUACCUGGGUUUGACAUACACCGGAUCGGGCUAGAGAUAGUCUUUCCCUUUGUGGCUGGUGUACAGGUGGUGCAUGGUUGUCGUCAGCUCGUGUCGUGAGAUGUUGGGUUAAGUCCCGCAACGAGCGCAACCCUUGUCUUAUGUUGCCAGCAUUUGGUUGGGGACUCAUGAGAGACUGCCGGGGUCAACUCGGAGGAAG